AUGACGCUGGCGGUAGGCUUACACCUGCAGGUCAUGCGAGAAAGUACUUCGGGUGCGAGUAGAGCGGCGGACGGGUGAGUAACGCGUAGGAAUCUACCUAGUAGAAGGGGAUAGCCCGGGGAAACUCGGAUUAAUACCGUAUACCUCCUCAGGGAGAAAGAGGGCUUAGCUUUGAUGCUCUCGCUAUUAGAUGAGCCUGCGUAAGAUUAGCUUGUUGGUGAGGUAAUGGCUCACCAAGGCGACGAUCUUUAGCUGGUCUGAGAGGACGAUCAGCCACAUUGGGACUGAGACACGGCCCAGACUCCUACGGGAGGCAGCAGUGGGGAAUAUUGGACAAUGGGCGCAAGCCUGAUCCAGCCAUACCGCGUGUGUGAAGAAGGCUUUCGGGUUGUAAAGCACUUUAAGUAAGGACGAAAAAGAUUGUAGUUAAUACCUGCAAUCCGUGAUGUUACUUACAGAAUAAGGACCGGCUAAUUCCGUGCCAGCAGCCGCGGUAAUACGGAAGGUCCAAGCGUUAAUCGGAAUUACUGGGCGUAAAGCGCGCGUACGGUGGUUUUUCUAAGUUGGAUGUGAAAGCCCUGGGCUCAACCUAGGAACUGCAUCCAAAACUAGAUGACUAGAGUACGACAGAGGGAAGUAG
rnacentral:rRNA from 1 species